rnacentral:rRNA from 1 species
AGCGAACGCUGGCGGCAGGCUUAAUACAUGCAAGUCGAGCGCCUGUAGCAAUACAGGAGCGGCAGACGGGAGAGUAACACGUGGGAACGUGCCCUUUGGUUCGGAACAACACAGGGAAACUUGUGCUAAUACCGGAUAAGCCCUUACGGGGAAAGAUUUAUCGCCAAAGGAUCGGCCCGCGUCUGAUUAGCUUGUUGGUGAGGUAAUGGCUCACCAAGGCGACGAUCAGUAGCUGGUCUGAGAGGAUGAUCAGCCUCAUUGGGACUGAGACACGGCCCAAACUCCUACGGGAGGCAGCAGUAGGGAAUAUUGGACAAUGGGCGCAAGCCUGAUCCAGCCAUGCCGCGUGAGUGAUGAAGGCCUUAGGGUUGUAAAGCUCUUU